rnacentral:rRNA from 1 species
AACCUUUAGCCCAACAAGUAUUGAAGGCAACGCCUGCCCGGUGAAUUAUUAAACGGCCGCGGUAUCCUAACCGUGCAAAGGUAGCAUAAUCAUUUGUCUAUUAAUUGUAGACCUGUAUGAAUGGCAAAAUGAAAGUCUGACUGUCUCUUAUAGUAGAUCAAUUAAACUGAUCUCCUAGUUCAAAAGCUAGAAUACCAACAUAAGACCAGAAGACCCUGUGAAGCUUUAAUUAAACCAUUAAAUCCAAUAAUGACUACUUUCGGUUGGGGCGACCUUGGAAAAAGAAAAACUUCCAAAUAUAGUGAUUAUUCACACCAUUAAGGCUAACAAGCCCUUAAAAGAUCCAGUACACCUGAAAAAUGAACUAAGUUACUCCAGGGAUAACAGCGCUAUCUUCUUCAAGAGCCCAUAUCAAAAAGAAGGUUUACGACCUCGAUGUUGGAUCAGGACAUCCUGAUGGUGCAGCCGCUAUCAAGGGUUCGUUUGUUCAACGAUUAAUAGUCCU